ensembl:lncRNA
AAACGCUGACGCAUUUACAAUGGCAGAAGCAAAAAUAGAAAUGGUCAUCACACCAAAAAUAACAAUCUUGCAAAGGCCAAAACCUGAGCUUGAAAAAGCCGCACAACCAAAUCCUGAAAAGUCUCCUGUGGCACAACCACAAAAGGAAAUGGUUGUGAAACCAAAGAAACAAAAAAAGGAAAAACAGAAAAGAGUGGCUGAAGAACCGAGAAGACCAAUUACUCGGGCAUAUGCCCGGGCUCUUCUUGAAGCUCAAAACAACAUGGGUGAUGGAGCAAACCCAACAAAUAAAGAAAUGCAAGAAAACACUGAAGCCACUCCUGAAAGGGAAAAAGCUGAAUCCCUCACCAUUUCAAAUGCAAAGGAGGACAUGAAUAUGGCGAGAGAGGGAAAUGUGAAUAAGCCCAGCAGACCAAACCCUGGGCCUAAUGGAGGGACUUGGCAAUAUCAACCCAAUCCCACAUUUAGACCCCAUCAGGGCAGUGUCCAGUUUAAUCCCUGGCACGAGAUUGCUGCUCUCAGACAGCAACUGGAAGCCUCCCAAUACCAUCAGAACGCCCUUUACUGGAAAAUGGUAGCUGCAAACAAGAGGGCCUCUUAUCACCAGUUUCAGGUGAACAAACUUCAUGCACAAAUGCAUGAGAACAACAGAAGUCAUGAGGAAACAAUUAAAGUCCUCAUAGAGCAGCUAGAGGAGGCUUCUAGUAAUAAGCCCAAUGACAUCAGUGAGACAGAGGCUCUCACAAAUGACAGUGAAGCUAUUGUCAUACUGGAUGAGGUGAUGGUUGCCCUGCAGGACCAAAUCAGCCACCCUACCACAGAGCAGUGUGUGGAGUCUGCCACUCCAACCACAGAGGCUUCACACACAGACUCUGUAGGACUGAUGUCCUCUAAGGAGGCUGAAUUUGAGGUCCAAUGUAGGAAUCAACAAGAGCAGAUUGAGAUGCUCCAGAAACAGCUCCUAGCAGCUCAAAAUCAGCUCGAAGAGCAGGCUGUUAAAAAUAGGCAGGAGCAGGAGACACUCAACCUGGAAAUCAGUGACCUGAAAUCCCAGCUCUGCUCCAACAAG